UUUGUUUGUUUCCUUCCACUGCAUAUACCUAGUUAUAGGUUUAUUAGAUUAGGUUUAGAUUAGGAUCCCGAAGAUGGAGAAGGCGUGAAGAUGGUGAAGGUCGAUGUCCACUCCGACUGUUAUCAUGUAAUGCUCAUUUUCCCGACAUAUGUCUCGGGUUUUAUGCAUUGUAUAAAGCUCAACGAGUUGCGGGUUUCCUUUCUUUCUCGAUUGUUUUCUCUUUUAUAUUCUUUAGAAUUGCA
rnacentral:lncRNA from 1 species